UAUGGGUGGUGGUGCAUGGCCGUUCUUAGUUGGUGGAGUGAUUUGUCUGGUUAAUUCCGUUAACGAACGAGACCCCCGCCUGCUAAAUAGUUGUGCGAAUGCUUAGCAUUGGCGUCAGCUUCUUAGAGGGACUUUUGGUGACUAACCAAAGGAAGUUGGGGGCAAUAACAGGUCUGUGAUGCCCUUAGAUGUCCUGGGCCGCACGCGCGCUACACUGACACACGCAACGAGUUCUCCUUGGCCGAAGGGUCCGGGUAAUCUUUUAAAUGUGUGUCGUGAUAGGGAUAGAUUAUUGCAAUUAUUAAUCUUGAACGAGGAAUUCCUAGUAAAUGCAAGUCAUCAGCUUGCGUUGAUUACGUCCCUGCCCUUUGUACACACCGCCCGUCGCACCUACCGAUUGAAUGAUUCGGUGAAAAUCUCGGACCGCGACAUCGCCGCCUCGGUGGCUUUGCUGUGGAAAGUUAUUAAACCUCAUCAUUAGAGAAGAGAAGUCGAGCACC
rnacentral:rRNA from 1 species